CGCGCGCGCGUCCACGCGAGGGGGUGGGGGGGACUGUAGUCUUUGCUGCAGCUGCUGCAAAGAUUUCUCACCAGCAAACUGCCUGGGAAUCUGCAAAGCCCUUGAUGGGAAUGGAUGCGGAAAAGGUGCUCAGCGAAGCAGAGGAGGGAAGAGGGGCAAAGGGCCCCCCCGGGGAUGAUGAGGAUGUGGUCCAGGAGGGCAGAAUUGGAGGAGUUUAUUCAGGAACCUUGAACAAUCAUCUGACCCUGGGUAAAGCCAGCCCACUUUAAAUAGCCUCUGGGUAGCCAACCUCAGCAUGCCACGUGGGCAAUGCAGAUAGGUCCACAUACAUGGAAGCAAGCCAGAUCCUCAGCCUUAGCCAAAUGUGGAAUUGUUCGUGACAGAGAGCACUCACCAUCGGGAAGGUGGAAGGCAGAAACCAGCUCCAUCUUUCAGAUGGGAGCCUAGCAUAGAUGUCCUCUGAGACGCUCCAGGCAGCAGCACAUUCAAACAGACAUCGAGACUCACAGCUGAAUAUUAAGCAGAGCACGUGAACCCUUGUGGAAGAGUAGGGUCAAGGACAGAAGGAUCUGGAGGGGACAAGACUCCACAAGAAGACCAACAGAGUCAAAUAACCUGUGCCCCGGGAGGCGUACGAGGACUGAUCCACAAAAAAGGGCCAUGCAUGGUCUUGAUCUAGUUCCCUACUCAUAUGUAGUCUAUGGGCAACAUAGAAUUCAUAUGGGUCCCUUAGUUAGGGAGAAGAGGUUGUCUCUGACAUGAACUUUGUGGCCUGUUCUCCCUGGUGGGGCUGCCCUACCUGGCCUCAGUGGAAGAGAAUCUGUUCAGUCCUGAUGCGACUUUAUGUGCUGGGGUGGGUUGCUGGGGGCUCCCCUUUUCUGAGGAGGAGCGGAGGUUAGGGGGCGGAGGGAGUGAAGGUGGAAUGGGGAGAAGAGGAGGAAGGUGGCUAUGAUGGGGUUGUAAAUUGAAUAAAUAUUGAAAAAUAAUAAUAUAAUUGAAAAUUUUCAAAAAGAAACAAAGUGAGAAGAUGUAUCUCUUAGCUAUGCUACUGAAAAAAGUCUACUUAUUCAGCAUCCUUAUCAAAAUUUUGGCUAUAUUCUCCAGAGAACAAGAAAUCUUCACUGUUUAAGAACACAGAAACACUGCAAUGACAGUGUAUAGACAUACCCCUUGUAUUCCACAGGCAAUUUCUCCUGUUAUUAAUAUUUUGCAUUAUUAUAAUAUAUUUCUUGUGAUUAAUGAUCCAAUACUUCUAAUUUAGUAUUAAUUUGUCAGCAAUUUGUUCAGAUAGUUUCAGCUCUACUCUUCCAGGCUUGACUUUAACUGGGACACCAUGCUGAGCUAUGCCAUUCCAUCACCAGCCUUAACACUUCCUAUGAGCUUCUCAAAUAUUCCUUUCUCUAAUGAUCUUGGCUACAUUUAGGAGUAUUGGGUAGGUAUUUUUUUUUAAACAAACUCUCAAAAUGAUUGUUUUAAAAUUUUUAUCUUCACGGUUAAGCAGAUGUGUUGCAUUUGGGAAGAAUGCCCCACGAAGAAACUACUAUUUUUUUUGAUACAUACCAUCUAGGCUACAUGCUAUGAAUACAGAAUUACUGGUAGUUUUUUCCUGACCUUGAACAUCAGAUCUGAGGUGAGUUUGCUUGGCUGUCUUUAUUGUAUGGCUACUGCCCCUCCAACUCUUCUCUCCCAGGGUCUGUCUUUGAAUACGACAUUGUGGGUACAGCCCUCACUGAAGCAGGAAGGAGCUAAAAUCUGACUCCUUGAGAAUAGAUUAAUUAUAUUAAGUUUUCAGAACUCUUUCGCUUGAGAAAUCAGCCUUUGUUGUUUUUUAAUUAAUAA